CGCACAUUGCACCCCCCGGUUUUCCGGGGAGUAUGCCUGUUCGAGCGUCAUUACACCCUUCAAGCUCUGCUUGGUAUUGGAACUCAUCUGUCAAAAGAAGUUUCCGAAAAAGAGUGGCAGUUUGCAGGACUUCAAGCGUGGUGAAAUUUUACGUUCUGAAGCUUCUGUGAUCUUGCCAAAACACUUCAAACAUUUGACCUCGAAUCAGGUAGGGAUACCCGCUGAACUUAA
rnacentral:misc_RNA from 1 species